rnacentral:lncRNA from 1 species
CAGAAGUUGGACCCCAGCUAUGCUUUAAACUUGACAGCCUGUCCAUUACUGCAAUGAGAGGCUGAAGAUUUCUCUGCUGACAUACAGGCAAACAGAAAAUAGGGGAUCAAAAGUCUGCCUCUCCUUGGCCAGUCUGACUGGACACCCGGGGAAAACAGAACAGAAGACUCCCACUCAGCCCUUACCCUCCAACAAUGGUGUGCCCCAGCUUUGACACUCAAGGUAGAAACCUGGAGGUAUAACCACUUUAGUCUUUUCUCUUAACUCUUCAUCAAAGCCCUGUGACUUCACAUGUUAGUCUCAUCUCCAAUUUAUCCACAUGU